UAUAAGUAUAAAAAGAAAUUAUUAUGGAAUUUAAGCUAUGUAUUAAAGAGAAUAAUUUAUAAAAAUAAGAUAAAAAGAUCUUAUAAUUAUAUAAACUCUAAAAGAAAUUUUAUAUUAAACAAAGUGAAUUGAAAUAUCUUAGUAACUUUAGGAAAAGAAAUCAAAAGAGAUUCUAUAAAUAGCGUGAGCGAAAAUAGAUGAGUCUAUAAAUUAAAACGGUAUUUAAACUGUUUGAAGUAUAUGGGGAACCUUCCUCAAAGACUAAAUAUAAUACAUAAGCGAUAGUGAAAAGUACCGUGAGGGAAAGAAAUAUAAAUAGUAAUUUUAUAAGCAGUUCUAACAAAAAAGAACGUACCUUUUGCAUAAUGGGUCACCAAGUUAACAUUAGAUGCGAGAUAACUCGUAGAUAAAUCGAACGUUAAAAUAACGUUAAGUGUCUAAAGUUAGACCCGAAGCCUGGUGAUUUUACCAUAAUCAGGAUUUUAAUGGUCCGAACGGGUGAUUGUAGCAAAAAUCUCCGAAGAAUUGUGGUAGGUAUAGUGAAAGACAAUACUGACUAGGAUAGCUGGUUUUCUGCGAAACCUAUAACAGUAGGCAAUUUAAGUAAAUAUCUUAGCAGGUACAGAACUUCAUCUCAGACAAUUUCGUAUUGUACAAAUUGGGGGAUCGUGAAGAUUUUAUCAGUGAGUA
rnacentral:ncRNA from 1 species